rnacentral:rRNA from 1 species
GACGAACGCUGGCGGCGUGCCUAAUACAUGCAAGUCGAACGCAGUGGGGACGGGUGAGUAACACGUGGGUAACCUCCCCAUCAGAGGGGAUAACACUUGGAAACAGGCUAUAAACCGAUACUGAUGGAUGGACCCGCGGUGAAUUAGCUAGUUGGUGAGGUAACGGCUCACCAAGGCCACGAUGAAUAGCCGACCUGAUAGGUUGAUCGGCCAAACGGGGACUGAGACACGGCCCAGACUCCUACGGGAGGCAGCAGUGGGGAAUAUUGGGCAAUGGACGAAAGUCUGACCGAGCAACGCCGCGUGAGUGAAGAAGGUUUUCGGAUCGUAAAGCACUGUUGUUAGAGAGGCGGUAUCUAACCAGAAAGCCACGGCUAACUACGUGCCAGCCGCCGCGGUAAUAC